UUGAAACCUUCCGGUAAGCCAGAAGGCCCAAA
rnacentral:piRNA from 1 species